GCCUAAGUGGCGGAAUUGGUAGACGCGCUAGUUUCAGGGACUAGUGUUAGCAAUAACGUGCAGGUUCGAGUCCUGUCUUAGGCA
rnacentral:tRNA from 1 species